CUCAGUUGAGCAGCAUAACCGUCGCUACAUGAACACUUCAUAAAUGUUUCGUUUUGUUUCGUUUUGUCUCAAAAUCUAAUAUCAAAUACAUGAAAAACAUAUAUAAAUUGCACAUUUUGUGUAGAGGAUUCGUAUAAUCCAUUGAAGUAUUCUUUUAGGUUUUAGGAUUGAUUUCGUAAAAGUAAAGGAGCACAAUUAAAUAGCAGGAAUACUUCAUUCGUGUAUUACGUUCAGCUCGUAUAAAUACAUACACAAGAAUUUGAAUUGCUCUAGCUGGGUUUUCAUGUGCUGCAGUAUCAUUGCGAAUAUAUACAUUGUAUUAUUGGGUGUAGUUGAAACAUUUACAGUGUAUACAGUGUAGAGUACAGGUCCAAGCAAGCUUCCUUACGACAUUCUUGCAUUUAUGUAUUUUAUACUAGAGAACGAAUCUUUUAUUUUUACAUAAAAUGUUCUCUUUGUAAGGUAGGAGUAUAGUAGUUGGUAGAAUACAUCAGGGAAGUGAUUUUUAAUUGUUCUCAAUAAUCUUCCAGAUUUUGUCGAAGGAUUUCUCUAUACCCAGGAAUAGGCAUAUUGAGCAUUUUUUAUCUUCCAGAGCAUGGAUAAUUUUGUUGGUUACCUUGUACAUCUGCUUGAUUGUAGCAGUUUAUCUCUGACUCCAAAUUUAUGAUUAAGUAUUAGUUGUUUACUAUUGAUUAUUUCUAAUUCUGACGAGGAAUAUUUUUUAUAGUAUUUUCAAGAGAAUUGAUGAAAAAAAUUCAUGAAUAUUUUUAUCUGGUUUCGGCAGCAUUAUAAUUUCAAUCAAUUUCCAUGUGCUUGGAAAAUGCUGGAUUCUGAAUGUAGCAUUAAAUAAUAUUGUUAUGAAUCUGACAGAGUUGGGCAUAUUUUAUUCGAACGAAUAACGAGUA